AACCGCUGGGGGCGCCGAACAGGCUGAGAUGGGCGAUAUCGUCCGGUCCCUUUGAACCUGAAGUGGAUAAUCCCACCGUAGGGAAGCGGA
rnacentral:ncRNA from 1 species